GAUGAAGAACGCAGCGAAAUGCGAUACGUAAUGUGAAUUGCAGAAUUCAGUGAAUCAUCGAGUCUUUGAACGCACAUUGCGCCCCCUGGUAUUCCGAGGGGCAUGCCUGUUCGAGCGUCAUUAUAACCCCUCAAGCUCAGCUUGGUGUUGGGGCCUGCCGCACGGGCAGCCCUUAAAAUCAGUGGCGGUGCCAUCUGGCUCUAAGCGUAGUAAUUCUUCUCGCUAUAGAGUCCCGGUGGAUGCUUGCCAUUAACCCCCAAUUUUCUAUGGUUGACCUCGGAUCAGGUAGGGAUACCCGCUGAACUUAAGCAUAUCAAUAAGCGGAGGA
rnacentral:misc_RNA from 1 species